GAGCUUGACUCUAGUCUGGCACG
rnacentral:piRNA from 1 species